rnacentral:tRNA from 1 species
GUUUCUGUAGUGUAGUGGUUAUCACGUUUGCCAAACACGCGAAAGGUCCCCGGUUCGAAACCGGGCAGAAACU